CCUACGGGUGGCUGCAGUGAGGAAUAUUGGUCAAUGGGCGCGAGCCUGAAGCAGCCAAGUAGCGUGAAGGAUGACUGCCCUACGGGUUGUAAACUUCUUUUAUAAAGGAGUAAAGUGAGGCACGUGUGCCUCUUUGUAUGUACUUUACGAAUAAGGAUCGGCUAACCCCGUGCCAGCAGCCGCGGUAAUACGGUGGCUCCGUGCGUUGUCCGGAUUUAUUGGGUUUAAAGUGAGCGUAGGUGGGUUGGUAAGUCAGGUGUGAAAGUUUGCGGCUCAACCGUAAAAUUGCAAUUGAUACUGGCAGUCUUGAGUACAGUAGAGGUAGGCGGAAUUCGUGGUGUAGCAGUGAAAUGCUUAGAUAUCGCGAAGAACUCCGAUUGCGAAGGCAGCUUACUAAACUGCAACUGACAUUGAUGCUCGAAAGUGUGGGUAUCAAACAGGAUUAGAUACCCGAGUAGUC
rnacentral:rRNA from 1 species